UACGAACCGUAGCAAACGUUAUUCGGAAUCACUGGCUUAAAGGGUGCGUAGGCGGCCAUGUAAGUGAGGUGUGAAAUCCCUCGGCUCAACCGAGACUGCGCUUCAUGACUGCAUGGCUUGAGGGAGACAGGGGUAAGGCGGAACUGAUGGAUGGAGCGGUGAAAUGACGUUGAUAUCAUCAGGAACACCGGUGGCGAAAGCGG
rnacentral:rRNA from 1 species